rnacentral:rRNA from 1 species
GAUGAACGCUGGCGGCGUGCCUAAUACAUGCAAGUCGAGCGAAUGGAUUAAGAGCUUGCUCUUAUGAAGUUAGCGGCGGACGGGUGAGUAACACGUGGGUAACCUGCCCAUAAGACUGGGAUAACUCCGGGAAACCGGGGCUAAUACCGGAUAACAUUUUGAACCGCAUGGUUCGAAAUUGAAAGGCGGCUUCGGCUGUCACUUAUGGAUGGACCCGCGUCGCAUUAGCUAGUUGGUGAGGUAACGGCUCACCAAGGCAACGAUGCGUAGCCGACCUGAGAGUGUGAUCGGCCGCACUGGGACUGAGACACGGCCCAGACUCCUACGGGAGGCAGCAGUAGGGAAUCUUCCGCAAUGGACGAAAGUCUGACGGAGCAACGCCGCGUGAGUGAUGAAGGCUUUCGGGUCGUAAAACUCUGUUGUUAGGGAAGAACAAGUGCUAGUCGAAUAAGCUGGCACCUUGACGGUACCUAACCAGAAAGCCACGGCUAACUACGUGCCAGCAGCCGCCGUAA